rnacentral:lncRNA from 1 species
UAGGGAAUUUAGAUAGGUUUACGGAUUUUAUAUUAAUUAGUGUUGAUUAGGUGGCUAAUGUAGGGAAUUUAGCUAGAUUUAUAGAAAUUGUUAAUUAUAGAAAUUGUUAAUAUUGUUGAUGUUAACUUCAAAGAUUAAUUUUUUUUGCAGGGCCUUCGAAAGAACAUGCUUACUCCCCAUUACAGAGAAUUGUUCGGUGAGCUUGAUAGUCGUUUAGACCCGCCUUCUUUGGCUCCCGGUUCUUCUUCAGCUCCCGGUUCUUCUUCAGCUCCCGGUUCUUCGGG